ensembl:rRNA 5S_rRNA 5S ribosomal RNA
GCUUACGGCCACACCACCCUGAGCGCGCCCGAUCUCGUCUGAUCUCGGAAGCUAAGCAGGGUCGGGCCUGGUUAGUACUUGGAUGGGAGACCGCCUGGGAAUACCAAGGUGCCGUAAGCU